rnacentral:sRNA from 1 species
UCUUUAAUUUAUAUUUUUUGAUCGCUAAGUUGUUCGUUUGCAUGUCGCUGGAUCCAGCGAUCAAACUAAUCGCUAAAGGCCCUGUUCGUUUGCUUGUCGUUGGCGACUGAAACCAGCGACAGCGACCAAAAGUUGUUUGUUUGCCUGUCGCUGGUUCAGCGACCAAAAAUAGCGAUAGUUGCCAGCGAUCAGCGACCGCAAUUUUUGGUCGCUGAAAGUUUUAACGAUCAGUCGCUGGUUUUAGCGAUUAGUCGCUGCUUUUGAUCGCUGGACUUUUUACCUGUUUUUCAUCUCUUGGUAAAAUUUAUUUGGUAAAAUUUAAUCAUCUCUUGAAAGUAUCUUUAUU